rnacentral:rRNA from 1 species
GUGGGGAAUAUUCCGCAAUGGACGAAAGUCUGACGGAGCAACGCCGCGUGAGUGAUGAAGGUUUUCGGACUGUAAAGCUCUGUUGUUUAGGACGAAAGUGCCUGUUGCAAAUAGUUACAGGUAUUGACGGUACUGAACGAGGAAGCCACGGCUAACUACGUGCCAGCAGCCGCGGUAAUACGUAGGUGGCAAGCGUUGUCCGGAAUUAUGGGGCGUAAAGAGCAUGUAGGCGGGAAUCUAAGUCUGUUGUGAUAAUGCGGGGCUCAACCCAGUAUGGCGAUGGAAACUGGGUUUCUUGAGUGCAGGAGAGGAAAGGGGAAUUCCCAGUGUAGCGGUGAAAUGCGUAGAUAUUGGGAGGAACACCAGUGGCGAAGGCGCCUUUCUGGACUGUGUCUGACGCUGAGAUGCGAAAGCCAGGGUAGCGAACGGGAUUAGAAACCCGUGUAGUCC